CCCAAUUCUCUUGUCAAUUGAAAAACCCUGGCUGCACAAGUUGCUGGCAUUCUGAUUCUCCGUCCUCUACCAUCUACCUUCGUGUGUCGGUCCUUCGUGGACCGCUUCGCUGGUGUNNNNNNNCUACAUAAGUGGUGGUGGAGGUGGUUGUCGAUGUGGUUGUAACUAUGGAAAGAUUCUGCUGCUGCUGAUUCUUCUUUGCUGAGCCUAAAAAAGGCCCAGAUCUAGUGGCGAUGGCGAGAGACGCGUCGACGAGGUGGGGCGGAGCUGCAGAAGAAGUGGAGGUGGAAGUGGAAGAGGAGGAAGA
rnacentral:misc_RNA from 1 species